rnacentral:rRNA from 1 species
UUUAAGCAUAUCACUCAGUGGAGGAAGAGCAAGCAACUGCUAUUGCCUCAGUAAUGGCGAAUGAACCGGCAACACAGGGCCCAGCCCGAAGUGAAUCCCUCCAGCAAGGUCUUCCCAGACCUCAUGCGACAGGCUCUCGUGGGUUUCAGCAGAUGCUGUGGGUUGUGGAGCAGAUGGCAUGCCCUGGGGCCACUGUGCCCAGAAGAGACCCUGGAAUGGCUCACCACAGAGGGAGACUGUCCCCCAUGCUACGUGUGUGCAGGGGUUACCUGGGGCUGUGCUGUCUGUAUCCAGGAGUAGAGUGGCUUGGGACUGCAGUUUGAAGUGGGAGGUAUAUCCAUCCCAAGGCAGAAUACCAACAUGGAACCGAUAGAGCAGAAGUAGAGUGAUUGAAGGGUGCAAAGGACUUUGCAAAGAGGGUUAGAAGUCCCUGAAGCCUUGGCAGGCACGGUGGUGAGUGAUGCUGUGGCUCUCAGUCGGAGGCCUUCUCACCCUGACCGGGGGGAUGGCUCUCUGGCUGCUGCCCCUUGGGCAGGUCAACCGAACCAAGUGACCUUGGACCAACCCUGUGUUGGCUUCUGAGCCCUUCUCCCAAGAGUGGGAUGCAUUCGAGGCAGCUUGAGGUGGCAAUCUGUCUGCCAGGGUCUGAGGCUUCCAGUGAUCACCAAAGGGAAUGUGUGACACAUAGCAGGCAGGGAUGAUGGAUGAUGCUAUGCUUGGGACACUGUGGGCAUGAGUGGUUCCUCCCUGGAGGCAAGUGUCCCACAGAGAGCCCCCCACAGUCAGCAGUGUACUGCAGCAGUCUGGUGUGUCUCCGGACAUGCCAGUGGCCAUGCCUGGCUUGGUUGGCACUGAUGGCUCCCUGGGUCUGCACCCUUCUGCGGGUGGUCCUGGGUGGCUGUUGGUGCCCCAGAACAGUGUGUGUGCCAGUGAGCAGUGGAGCUUGGUGCAACAGUGCCACUCUCUGCCCGUCUCGAAACACGGGAACCAAGGAGUCUAUGGAGCUUGCAGGUUGGCAGGUGGUACCAACCAAACCGUCAGUGCAUGGUGAAGGCAACCCUUACCCAGAUGGUGCAUUGUGUCCUCCGUGAGUUCUCAGAGGGGAGCCCAACACCCUCAGCCACUCCCUCACACAGGCAGAUCUGGCAUGUGGGACACCCUCUGUGCCAGGGUGUUGGGGGAGACUGUGGGCCGUGUUGCCCCCAGAGCCGUUGUGGGCCAGUGUUGAGAUGAACUGCAUGGGUCACCAGUCCUGCAGUCCAGUGGACAGGGUUCUGAGUGCUUGCAAGGUCCAUGGGACCCGAAAGGUGGUGAACUAUACCAUUCUAUGUUGAAGCCGUGGGAAACUGCGGUGGAGGACAGUAGCUGUUCUGACGUGCAAAUUGUGUAGCCUGAGUGUGGCAUAGGGGUGAAAGGCCAAUCGAGCCACCUAGUAGCUGGUUUCCUUCGAAGUUUCCCUCAGGAUAGCUGGGCUCAAGUGCAACCAUCCCAAGUGAUUAUGUCCGGUAAAGCAACGCAUCAGAGGCAAUCUCCGGGGAGACCUCCCUCCUCAACCUAUUCUCGAACUGUGAAUGGGCAUGAAUCCAGGCAUGCUUCUUCACUGGUGCUGGAGUCUGUCUCUGACAGUCCUCCCGGCUUCUGAGCGUGUUGGCUGUGGCAGUCCUUGUGGACAGAGACUCUCCCCCUCCCGUGCAGCUCUGUGUGGCCAGGAGGGACUCGGAGACAGAUGCAAGGGUGCUGUAUCGAUGAACAACUGUGCCUAUGUGGACCACCAUUGGUAAGCAGUGCUGGUGAUGCGGGGUGCUCCGAGAGUGGACUUACAGAUCCAGAGUGCUGGCUCAUACCCAGAUCCCACAAAGGAUGUCGUUUGCUCAUGAUAGCAGGACGGUGGCCAUGAAGGUUGGAAUCCGCCAAGGAAUGUGUAACAACUCACCUGCCGAAGCGUACAGCUCCCAAAAUGGAUGGAGCCCAAGUCAGUGAAGCUGAGAUGGCCUUACAGUCCACCACUGCUGUGGCAGCCUGGCAGAGCAUCAGUGUGUAGAAAGGACAUGGGAGACUGCCGUGCAGGCUGGGGCUGACCCUGGCUGAAGUGUCUUCCGGAGCAGAUCUUGGUUGUAGUAGCAAGUACUCCAUCGGGUGAAGAGUGGAACAACCCCACUGUGUGCGGUUGAGGACUGGAGUGGAGCAGGUUUCCGCACCAAACAGCCGUUGAAUGCGGGUCAGCCGGCCGUGAGCCAAGUGGCAAGUUCACCAGACAACCAAAGCUGUCUUGUCCCCUGGGACCAAGGGGGAACCAUCAUCACACCAUCAUGAGUCUCUGACCGUGUGGAUUGACUGUGUACCCUGGACCCAAGGGUCUCCUGGCAGGAGUGGCAAACAGGCAAGCAUGUGCAACAUUCUGCUGUGAUAGGCUUGGGGUAAUCCGGGUGGCAACACCCACACUGACUUUGACAAGCAGGCAUCGGGGCAGUGCACCCCCUGGGGAGUUAUCGUUUCCUCCUGAUGUCCAGGCUAUGCGGGCUAUCGAUUGGCAUGACAGAUGGUGGUGUAGAGCCCUCCACCCAGCAAGGCAGUGUGACCUCCACACUGAUGGUCUCUGAAGGACACAGUUGCUCUGGCUCCCCCCUCUCCUCUCUGAGGGAGGAGGGCAUGUCUCAGUCACUCCGACUCGGUGGUCACUGGCUCCAAUGAACAGCCUGUGGGGCACUGUGCCCCAGGUCCCAGAUCCCCGUACCGGAUCACCGCAGCCGGUCUCCUCGACUGUAUGUCGCUUGUCCACGGAUGAAAUGCAGCUAAGGGAAGUCGGCAAACUGGCCGUGUACCUUCGGAAGAUGCGGUGGCUCCAGAGGCCAAGUCAUUGGACCCACUGUUGGCUGGGCAGUGUGGGAUGUUGCUCCCAGUGUGGGCCUCCCGCAGACUCGUACUGGACUGCUGAUGCCUCACACACCCUGACCUGCUGUUGGGGGUAUCAUACUUGCCAUCCCAAUGUCUAUCAAGUGGCUCGCGUGGAACUGUUGCUGUGCAGGGGAAUCUGACUGUUUAAUUGAAACACAGCUUUGUGAUGGACCCAGCUGGCUGGUGCCAUGAAGUGACUUCUGCCCAGUGCUCUGAUUGUCAAUGCGAAGAGAUUCAGCCAAGCGCGGGUAAACGGCGGGAGUAACUAUGACUCUCUUAAGGUAGCCAAAUGCCUCGUCAACCAAUUAUUGACGCGCAUGAAUGGAUCAACGAGAUUCCUGCUGUCCCUAGUUGCCGUCUGGUGAACCAACAGCCAAGGGAACGGGCUUGGAUGUGUCAGCGGGGAAAGAAGAGCCUG